GUUACACCUAUCCUUAACCCUGGUUCCCUCUCUCUGCUCCACCUCCCUCCAUUCCACACCGGUUACACCUAUCCCAAACCUUAACCAUGGUACCCUCUCUCUGCUCCACCUCCCUCCAUUCCACACCGGUUACACCUAUCCCAAACCUUAACCCUGGUACCCUCUCUCUGCUCCACCUUCCUCCAUUUCACACAGGUUACACCUAUCCCAAACCUUAACCCUGGUACCUUCUCUCUGCUCCACCUCCCUCCACUUCACACAGGUUACACCUAUCCUUAACCCUGGUACCCUCUCUCUGCUCCACCUCCAUCCAUUUCACAAAGGUUACACCUGUCCUUAACCCUGGUGCCCUCUCUCUGCUCCACCUCCCUCCAUUUCACACCGGUUACACCUAUCCCAAACCUUAACCCUGGUACCCUCUCUCUGCUCCACCUCCCUCAAUUCCACACCGGUUACAUCUAUCCCAAACCUUAACCCUGGUACCCUCUCUCUAAUCCACCUCCCUCCAUUUCACACAGGUUACACCUAUCCUUAACCCUGGUACCCUCUCUCUGCACCACGUCCCUCCAUUUCACACAGGUUACACCUAUCCUUAACCCUGGUACCCUCUCUCUGCUCCACCUCCCUCCAUUCCACACCAGUUACACCUAUCCCAAACCUUAACCCUGGUACCCUCUCUCUA
ensembl:lncRNA